UGUGGUGGCGAUAGCAAGAAGGAUACACCUGUUCCCAUGCCGAACACAGAAGUUAAGCUUCUUCACGCCGAGAGUAGUUGGU
rnacentral:rRNA from 1 species